rnacentral:lncRNA from 1 species
GGUUGCUUCAGCUCCUCGCAGGGGACUUCGUGAGGCUUGAUGAUCUUGCUUUGAGAUUCAAGAAGGGAAAGCACUGAAGGAAUGUAAUGCUGUGUUUUCUCACAUGCUUCUGAAUACCUAGGUCUGAAGAAGAAACACAAAGCAGGGCCAGAGGGGACUGCUGUGGGAGGCUUCUGCAAUCUGGCUGCCUUCUAGCCCAGCAUUCCACUUUCUGCCUUCGACCUGCCGUGCAGAAAUGAAGUCAGCCUCACGCUCUUCUGCCAAAGCUGAGCCUGUUGAGAGCACCAAUUACAGUGAAAAACCUCGAACUCUUGCAGAGGGAACCAGUUUGCUUUUUGAUAUGAUGGAGCCAGGAAGUCACUAACUUGCUUUAUUCCUUUCGAUGUCCUGACCCUGCCAAGCAGGAAUCCCAGGCUAAUCUCACCUGCUCAGGAGACUCAGAGUGCCAGAGCAUCACUGGAAGCUGUGAAAGCAGGAAGCCCCAUUGAGCACAGUGCUUCAGGAAGUACACACAGGGUGCCAGCACAUCCACCGCCUCAGAGAACAGCAACAGAAUGGUUUUAUGUCUAUUCAUCUCUAAGCCUUUGCUUACAUGAAGAUUCAGAUGGACAUAUCAUUUCUCUAUCUCUAACCUAAAAUUCUCCAGGGUGAUUGUUCAGCUUCUAAAA